rnacentral:rRNA from 1 species
AUUGAACGCUGGCGGCAGGCUUAACACGUGCAAGUCGAGCGGGGUGAUGGUGCUUGCACUAUCACUUAGCGGCGGACGGGUGAGUAAUGCUUAGGAAUCUGCCUAUUAGUGGGGGACAACAUCUCGAAAGGGAUGCUAAUACCGCAUACGUCCUACGGGAGAAAGCAGGGGAUCACUUGUGACCUUGCGCUAAUAGAUGAGCCUAAGUCGGAUUAGCUAGUUGGUGGGGUAAAGGCCUACCAAGGCGACGAUCUGUAGCGGGUCUGAGAGGAUGAUCCGCCACACUGGGACUGGGACACGGCCCAGACUCCUACGGGAGGCAGCAGUGGGGAAUAUUGGACAAUGGGGGGAACCCUGAUCCAGCCAUGCCACGUGUGUGAAGAAGGCCUUAUGGUUGUAAAGCACUUUAAGCGAGGAGGAGGCUCUUUUGGUUAAUACCCAAGAUGAGUGGACGUUACUCGCAGAAUAAGCACCGGCUAACUCUGUGCCAGCCGCCGCCGUAA